AUCUGUUGGCCCUUUCCUGGGUCAGAGUCCAGGCUUGCUGACUGCCUCACAGCUGCUGCCACUGGGAGAAGCAAUUUGUCAACUUUAUACCUUUCUGCUUUAUGGUCCGGUGACUUAAUAGGAUUCGACCUUCCCUCGAUUCCAUUUCAGUUGGGUCAGACACUGCACUUCAAAUUAAAACUUGGGCUCUGAGACAGGUGAUGAGGAGCUGGUGAGGUGUGUGGCACGUGUUCUGAGGGCUGUAGCUUAGGUACCCUCUAAGCUGGCAUGGUCAACCCUGUUUUCAUAAUGACAUGCAGCCUGAGACCCUGGCUGCUCAUAAUGCCAUGACCAUAGUGCCUGGAGGAAGGCACUGCACUCCCUGAGAGUGCAGGAAGUCUAGCCACCUGUCUACCCAUUGAGAGGAUGCUUGGAUUUUCAUGAGACAAUGGAGCAAAACUCAAAAAAGGGAAGAGACAGUGUCACUGCAAAGCGUUCCUAAGAUGACCCGGUUCACUCAGCCAGCAUGCAUUUGGUACCACUGGAUGUCGGUCCUCAUGGCAGACACCAAAGGGGAUGGAAGGAUUUCACCCAUGCUGCCAAGAAACAUGCAGUCUGAAUGACAGGAGAUCAAGGGCAUGUAUGACUAUAAUGUAAAGCAGAAAGUGAAGAAUGAUGAAAUCUUCCUCCCUGAGCUCCUGAGAGAACAGGGGGGCUUAGUGGAAACACCACACACCUGGCUGGAUCUUGUCAGGUGGAGACACUGAGGGCUGUUUCUUUCCAGUUCUGGAAGACUUGGAGUUCCUACUCGGCAGCUUUGCUCGGCCUGCUUCAGAGCGAUGCACUGUGCACCACCCCACCUUCAGCACCUAAAACAUUGCCUGCAACGUGGUGGACGCUGAGGAAAUACUGUUGGCUGGGUGUGAUCCUGAGCACUUGGCUCUCAGAUGAUACCUGCAGCCUGAAAAGAGUCUCAGCUAUGAAGACUCUCCAGCUGUGGAUACUGGGAAGCUUGAAGGGCUGAUCUCACAGGGGAGGACGCAGCGUUUCUUGCCUCCAGAAGAUGCAGCAACAAGGUUUCUUCUCGGAAGCAUACAGCAGCACUCACCAGACAACUGAACCUGCUGGUGCCUUGGUUUGGAGCUUCUCAGCCUCCAGAACUGUGAGUAACAAAUAUCUGUUUCUUAUAAAUUACCUAGUCUGUGGUAUCCUGGGUAUUCUGUUGUAGCAGCACAAAACAGUCUCACAUACAACCAGAAGAAACAAAGCAAAAUCUGAAGGCAGAGGUACAUGGAGCAGAGUGCAGAGGAAACCAGACGCGAGGUUUCAAACGUGCUCUCUCCAUGGAACCACAAAGGAUAUGCCUAGUUCCCCCACAGUGACUUGUGACAACAUGUAUGAAGUAUCUAAUGAUCUCAUCAGAGAUCUCAGUGUCUAGGAUUUUUACUGGAAACCAUUCAUAUUGGCGGCCUCUAUCCAGCAUACACCAAAAUUGCAGACUCUCAGAAAGAAAGCAUGUAUUCAGCAUAAACCAUAUUGCUUGUGCAGUUCAGUUAGUGCACUACUCUUAUCAGAUAGGGUGGCAAAGAUCCU